rnacentral:rRNA from 1 species
CGAGUUUGAUCCUGGCUCAGGAUGAACGCUAGCGGCAGGCUUAACACAUGCAAGUCGAGGGGUUAUUGGUUUCGGACCAAGAGACCGGCGCACGGGUGCGUAACGCGUAUGCAAUCUACCUUUGCAGAGGGAUAGCCCAGAGAAAUUUGGAUUAAUACCUCAUAGUAUAGUACUUUGGCAUCAAGGAACUAUUAAAGUCACAACGGCAAAAGAUGAGCAUGCGUCCCAUUAGCUAGUUGGUAAGGUAACGGCUUACCAAGGCUACGAUGGGUAGGGGUUCUGAGAGGGAGAUCCCCCACACUGGUACUGAGACACGGACCAGACUCCUACGGGAGGCAGCAGUGAGGAAUAUUGGACAAUGGGCGCAAGCCUGAUCCAGCCAUGCCGCGUGCAGGAUGACGGUCCUAUGGAUUGUAAACUGCUUUUAUACAGGAAGAAACACUCCGACGUGUCGGAGCUUGACGGUACUGUAAGAAUAAGGAUCGGCUAACUCCGUG